CAGCGUCUCGAGCAGGCGCUCGCGCUCCGUGAGCAUGGUGACCAUGAGGCGCUCCAGCUCGCCACCCGCCUCGUCCGGGCCCAGGGCCGAGCCCCGCCGGCCAUCCUCGCUGAUGGUGGGCAUCACCUCGCACAUCAUGGCGGCGGUGCCGGCCUGCGGGUGCGGGAAAGGGGCACGGACCAGAAAGCAGCCCCAUCAGGGUACAGGCAAACGACCGGAGCACUGCAACUCGGAUACUCUCUGGGGGAAACUGAGGUGCGCGGAUCCAGGCACUGCACCGCAGAAACUGAGACCCAGCCACUCUGAUCAUGACAGGGAAACUGAGGCACCGACAACGGCAUCCACCAAGACACCUAAGGGUUAGCCAGCAAGUGCUGCCAGUGGAAACAGACCUGUCCAUUGUAAUCCCAGCACAGAAUAAAUCGAAGCCUUUGCUGCCAGGAAAACAGCCCUGGCCACGUGGAUGAGAGUAUUUAGGGAGACUGAGGCCGGCCUCAACAGGCAGACAACAAACCUGGUCCGCUGAGAAACUGACGCAGGGUGACCCAGAUGUCGCCCAAGCGAAUGUGGAAGAAUUGGUCUCUACGUAUUCUGACUUCACUGAGAAUCCCAAGUACCCACCCCACCCCGCCCAGGUGGCAAAGAAGACUGAGCCAGAACCGCCCCUUCAGAAAGCAACAGGGCUGGGGCCACGGAACGAGGAGCAGCAGCAUAACCGGUUUGAGAGUGGAUAAUUCUCAGCCCCGCCCAAUUUGCAGAUUGCACCCCAAUCCUGGAACUGGGGCCUUGGACUCCCUGGAGGAGAGGAGGACUCUGAGGAGCUCUGGGACCUGGGAGGGAGGUGGCGCAUCUGAGAAUCCAGACCCCCGAAUCCCAGCAGUGAGAGACGAGAUUCAGGAAAACGUUUUUAGAGAGCAGGCCAGUGUAGGCCAAAAAACCAGUAUGACAUUUCUAACCCAUGUUUUCGGGAGGCUGCUCUAGUACCUCAGAUUCAUUUCGGGGUCAGAACACAGGGCUGGGCAUAGAUCUAGAGAGCAGAUGUCGUGAAGACAUGCCUGGAUGCAGAAAGAACCUGUGCUUCCACGUUCACCACGUGUGGUGGGGUGAGAUCCACACACUAGGCUAAGUAAAGAGUCACAAUCUAGAGCCGAGGUUGAGAACUUAGAACCAGCCAAAAGCAGCCCCAUAAUUUAGAGUGUGUCAGUCAUCCCAGAACCCCAAAUACAGAGAGGAGCAUCAUGGUACCAAAAACCGUGGUACCAAGGAACAAACCAAAUGCAACACAUAGCAAGAAUAAUAAUGUAAUCUAGAACUCAGCACGCACUUGGGACCAAGGGAUUAACACAGAAUAUAGCACAGGUCACAUGCUUGGUUUGGUCAGAAGACAAACUCAGUGCUAGAGCUUUCCAACUUGGGCCUGGCAGAAUGGCUCCUGCAAAGAACGGUGGCAAAAAGAAGGGACAUUCUGUCAUCAACUAGGUGGUGACCCGAGAAUACACCAUCAACAUUCACAAGUGCAUCCAUGGAGUGGGCUUCAAGAACCGUGUCCCUAGGGCACUUAAGGAGAUUUGUAAAUUUGCUAUGAAGGAAAUGGGGAUUCCAGAUGUGCACAUUGAUACCAGGCUCAACAGGGGCUGGGGAUUUAGCUCAGCGGUUCUGCACCUGCCUCGCAAGUGCAAAGACCCCAGUUCGAUCCCAGGCACCAAAAAAAAAAAAAAAAAAAAGAAUGCCAGGCUCAACAAAGCUGUCUGAACUAAAGGAAUAAGGAACGUCCCAUAUCUUAUCUGUAUACUAUUGUCCAGAAAACGUAAUUCACCAAAUAAGCUCUAUACUUUGCUAACCUACAUCCCUGUUAUCCCUGUUAUAAUCUUCAAAAAUCUCCAGUGAAUGUGGAUGAGAACUUUCAAAUAAAGUUACAAAACUAUAAUUUAAAAAAACCCUCAGUGGUAGAGCACUUGCCUAGCAUGUGCCUGCCCCUGAGUCCCUGGGGGGGAGGGGUACAAGACAAAGUAACCAAGAUUAAUUACUGAUAGAAUCAGAAAACAAAAGAUGAGGGUGGGGAUUUAGCUCGGUGGCUCCGCGCCUGCCUCCUAAUUGCAAGGUCCUGAGUUUGGUCCCUGGUACCAAAAAAACCCACAAAAGACAAGCUCUGGAACUGGGGUUUAGCUCAGUGGAACAGCACUUGCCUAGCAUGUCCAAGGCCAUAGGUUCAAUCCCUCACACUAAAAAAAAAAAACCCUAUUCUAGAGUUCAGAACAUCCCCCAUAGGGAUGAAGAAAAACAGACAGUAACAAGGAGUUUGCCUGGAACUUGGAAGUACAGAAGUAGCUGGAGGAAAGCGCAAAAGGAUGGAGAUGAGAUUAAACAAAAAUUAAGACUUUCCUGAGAGCCAGGCAUGGUGGUGCAUGCCUCAGGAGGCUGAGGUAGGAGGAUCACAGGUUCAAGGCCACCCUGAACUACAUAGCAAGACCCUGUCUUUAGAAACCAAAACAAAACAAAAAAAUAAUUUCCUGAGCUCAAGACUGAACUGGCAAGGGAGAAGUGUGUUCUGGAAAUGGGAAUAUUCUAAGCUGAAGACUCUGCAGGAGGAGAGAGCCUAGAACAUGCUUAGGAUGCCAAAGUGGCAGAUGGAGGAGAAGUCCACAGUGCGCCAGGCAACAAGUUCUACACUAAGGCCGAAGUAGAAAAAACACAGACAAAGGAGGCAGCCACGGAUGGGCCUAGAACCUAGAACCUGAGGAAGAAAAAUGUAAUGUAGAACACCUUGUGGGCAAUCUUCUAGAUUUAAAAUCAUGAAAUACGAUGGAACGUAAAACAAAGAAAUUAAUUUUAGAAUCGAUAGCACACAUUGGAGAAAGGCUGGAGCAUAUUAUAGAACACAGUCUAGAAGUUAGAAUGUUCUUAGGAAGAGAACACAAUCUAGGAUGCCAAGGAUGUGGAUACAACUAAAAUGGAAAUUUGGUGGAGACUAAGAAGUGGUUGCUCGAAAUUUAGAAGAGACCUGCAGAGAGGAUCCCUGGAAGGAAGCGAGUCAUGGCGCCUGAGUUCCUAAAGGAGCAGAUGCUGGGUACCAGGAGGAUGACUCCCAGGCGGUCGUGGCCCCUUUAACAGGAGACUGACAGACGGUGC
rnacentral:lncRNA from 1 species